UACGAACUGUGCAAACGUUAUUCGGAAUCACUGGGCUUAAAGGGUGCGUAGGCGGCUGUCUAAGCAGGGUGUGAAAGCCCCCGGCUCAACCGGGGAAUUGCGUUCUGAACUGGACGGCUGGAGCGGGAUAGGGGUGUGUGGAACUUCCGGUGGAGCGGUGAAAUGCUUAGAUAUGACAUAGAACACCGAUAGCGAAGGCAGCUUGCUACACGAGUAUUGACACUGAGGCACGAAAGCGUGGGGAUCAAACAGG
rnacentral:rRNA from 1 species